rnacentral:rRNA from 1 species
UUCCGGUUGAUCCUGCCGGAGGUCACUGCUAUUGGGGUUCGGCUAAGCCAUGCAAGCGGAGGGUGCGGUCGAAAGAUCGUGGCCCCGCACACGGCUCAGUAACACGUAGUCAACCUACCCUUGGGACGGGGACAACCUCGGGAAACUGAGGCUAAUACCCGAUAGGCGAGGGACGCUGGGAUGCCUCCUCGCCCAAAGCUCUGGCGCCCAAGGAUGGGACUGUGGCCUAUCAGGCUGUUGGUGGUGUAACGGACCACCAAACCUACGACGGGUACGGGCGAUGGGAGUCGGAGCCCGGAGAUGGGGACUGAGACAAGGCCCCAGGCCCUACGGGGCGCAGCAGGCGCGAAAACUCCGCAAUGCGCGCAAGCGUGACGGGGGGACCCCAAGUGCCGUUGGUCUUUCGAUCGACGGUUUUUAGGAAGUCUAAGAAGCUUCCGGAAUAAGGGCUGGGCAAGACUGGUGCCAGCCGCCGCGGUAACACCAGCAGCCCGAGUGGUGGCCACGAUUAUUGGGCCUAAAGCGCUCGUAGCCGGAUCAUUAAGUCCCUUGUGAAAUCGGGCCGCCCAACGGUUCGGCGUGCAAGGGAUACUGUUGGUCUUGAGGCCGGGAGAGGUCGGAGGUACUCCUGGGGUAGCGGUGAAAUGCUCUAAUCCUAGGGGGACCACCAGUGGCGAAGGCGUCCGACCAGAACGGACCUGACGGUGAGGGGCGAAGGCUAGGGGAGCGAACGGGAUUAGAUACCCGGGUAGUCCUGGCCGUAAACGAUGCACACUAGGUGUUGGUAUGGCUAUGAGCCAUAUCAGUGCCGAAGGGAAACCAUUAAGUGUGCCGCCUGGGAAGUACGGUCGCAAGGCUAAAACUUAAAGGAAUUGGCGGGGG